CAAUUAUUUAUAGCCUCUGGCUAUAGGAAAUUGUUAGUGGCAGACGGGUGAGUAAUGCGUAGGAAUCUACCUAGUAGUACGGGAUAGCCAUUAGAAAUGGUGGGUAAUACUGUAUAAUCCCCGAGGGGGAAAGAUUUAUCGCUAUUAGAUGAGCCUACGUUAGAUUAGCUAGUUGGUGAGGUAAUGGCUUACCAAGGCUAUGAUCUAUAGCUGGUCUGAGAGGACGAUCAGCCACACUGGAACUGAGAUACGGUCCAGACUCCUACGGGAGGCAGCAGUGGGGAAUAUUGGACAAUGGGCGAAAGCCUGAUCCAGCUAUGCCGCGUGAGUGAAGAAGGCCUUCGGGUUGUAAAACUCUUUCAAUAGGGAAGAUAAUGACGGUACCUAUA
rnacentral:rRNA from 1 species